rnacentral:rRNA from 1 species
GACGAACGCUGGCGGCGUGCUUAACACAUGCAAGUCGAACGGUGAAGCGCCUUCCUUUUUGGUGGGUGUGGAUGAGUGGCGAACGGGUGAGUAACACGUGAGUAACCUGCCCCCUUCUUCUGGAUAACCGCAUGAAAGUGUGGCCAAUACGGGAUAUUCUGGGUCUGUCGCAUGAUGGGUCUGGGAAAGAUAUUGUUUCGGUGGGGGAUGGGCUCGCGGCCUAUCAGCUUGUUGGUGGGGUGAUGGCCUACCAAGGCGGUGACGGGUAGCCGGCGUGAGGGGGUGGACGGUCACACUGGGACUGGGACACGGCCCAGACUCCUACGGGAGGCAGCAGUGGGGAAUAUUGCACAAUGUGCGCAAGCCUGAUGCAGCGACGCCGCGUGAGGGAUGGAGGCCUUCGGGUUGUGAACCUCUUUCGCCAGUGAAGCAGGCCUGCCUCGUUUGUGGGUGGGUUGACGGUAGCUGGAUAAGAAGCGCCGGCUAACUACGUG